GACGAACGCUGGCGGCGUGCUUAACACACGCAAGUCGAGCGGUAAGGCCCUUUCGGGGGUACGACGAGCGGCGAACGGGUGAGUAACACGUGGGUGGCCUGCCCUCAGCUCUGGGAUAAGCCUGGGAAACCGGGUCUAAUACUGGAUAUGACUCCAUGACGCAUGUUGUGGGGUGGAAAGCCUUGUGCGGCUGAGGAUGGGCCCGCGGCCUAUCAGCUUGUUGGUGGGGUGAUGGCCUACCAAGGCGACGACGGGUAGCCGGCCUGAGAGGGCGACCGGCCACACUGGGACUGAGACACGGCCCAGACUCCUACGGGAGGCAGCAGUGGGGAAUAUUGGACAAUGGGGGCAACCCUGAUCCAGCCAUGCCGCGUGUGUGAAGAAGGCCUCGG
rnacentral:rRNA from 1 species